rnacentral:rRNA from 1 species
GCCAGACUCCUACGGGAGGCAGCAGUGGGGAAUAUUGCACAAUGGGGGAAACCCUGAUGCAGCGACGCCGCGUGAGUGAAGAAGUAUUUCGGUAUGUAAAGCUCUAUCAGCAGGGAAGAAAAUGACGGUACCUGAUUAAGAAGCCCCGGCUAACUACGUGCCAGCAGCCGCGGUAAUACGUAGGGGGCAAGCGUUAUCCGGAUUUACUGGGUGUAAAGGGAGCGUAGACGGUGAUGCAAGUCAGAAGUGAAAGCCCGGGGCUCAACUCCGGGACUGCUUUUGAAACUGUGUGACUGGAGUGCAGGAGAGGUAAGCGGAAUUCCUGGUGUAGCGGUGAAAUGCGUAGAUAUCAGGAGGAACACCAGUGGCGAAGGCGGCUUACUGGACUGUAACUGACGUUGAGGCUCGAAAGCGUGGGGAGCAAACAGGAUUAGAUACCCCCGUACA